rnacentral:misc_RNA from 1 species
AAGUCGUAACAAGGUUUCUGUAGGUGAACCUGCAGAAGGAUCAUUAAUGAGAAUAGGGGGUUGGAUUCUAUCUGCCCCCGACCUUUCGAUCUACACACACUUGUGAACACACAACUAUACCCGCCUAGCUUUGGCCAAGGUGUGGUAGUCACUUUAUUAACACGGUUAUUGGGUGUAAAUACAAAUCCUCCAAAGCGGGGUGAAAGUUAAAUACAACUUUCGGCAAUGGAUCUCUUGGUUCU